GACGAACGCUGGCGGCGUGCCUAAUACAUGCAAGUCGAGCGAGACUCUUCGGAGUCUAGCGGCGGACGGGUGAGUAACACGUGGGCAACCUGCCUGUAAGACUGGGAUAACACCGGGAAACCGGUGCUAAUACCGGAUAAUCCUUUUUCUCUCAUGAGGAAAAGCUGAAAGUCGGUUUCGGCUGACACUUACAGAUGGGCCCGCGGCGCAUUAGCUAGUUGGUGAGGUAACGGCUCACCAAGGCGACGAUGCGUAGCCGACCUGAGAGGGUGAUCGGCCACAAUGGGACUGAGACACGGCCCAGACUCCUACGGGAGGCAGCAGUAGGGAAUCUUCCACAAUGGACGAAAGUCUGAUGGAGCAACGCCGCGUGAGCGAUGAAGGCCUUCGGGUCGUAAAGCUCUGUUGUUAGGGAAGAACAAGUACCGGAGUAACUGCCGGUACCUUGACGGUACCUAACCAGAAAGCCACGGCUAACUACGUGCCAGCCGCCGCAGUAACAC
rnacentral:rRNA from 1 species